GCAGCGUUGGUGUAAUGGCAGCACACAAGCCUUCAAAGCUUGACGACGUACCUCCAGUACGUAAGCGUGGGUUCGAUUCCCACACGCUGCUCCA
rnacentral:tRNA from 1 species